CCUACGGGUGGCAGCAGUGGGGAAUAUUGCACAAUGGGGGAAACCCUGAUGCAGCGACGCCGCGUGAGUGAAGAAGUAAUUCGUUAUGUAAAGCUCUAUCAGCAGGGAAGAAAAUGACGGUACCUGCGUAAGACACCCCGGCUAACUACGUGCCAGCAGCCGCGGUAAUACGUAGGGGGCAAGCGUUAUCCGGAUUUACUGGGGGUAAAGGGAGCGUAGACGGCAGUGCAAGUCUGGAGUGAAAGGCGGGGGCGCAACCCCCGGACUGCUCUUGAAACUGUACGGAUGGAGGGCAGGAGAGGUAAGUGGAAUUCCUGGUGUAGCGGUGAAAUGCGUAGAUAUUAGGAGGAACACCAGUGGCGAAGGCGGCUCACUGGACUGCAACUGACACUGAGGCUCGAAAGUGUGGGUAUCAAACAGGAUUAGAUACCCGUGUAGUC
rnacentral:rRNA from 1 species